GAUGAACGCUGGCGGCGUGCCUAAUACAUGCAAGUCGAGCGAACAGACGAGGAGCUUGCUCCUUCGACGUUAGCGGCGGACGGGUGAGUAACACGUAGAUAACCUACCUAUAAGACUGGGAUCACUUCGGGAAACCGGAGCUAAUACCGGAUAAUAUUUCGAACCGCAUUGUUCGAUAGUGAAAGAUGGCUUUGCUAUCACUUAUAGAUGGACCUGCGCCGUAUUAGCUAGUUGGUAAGGUAACGGCUUACCAAGGCAACGAUACGUAGCCGACCUGAGAGGGUGAUCGGCCACACUGGAACUGAGACACGGUCAAGACGACUACGGGAGGCAGCAGUAGGGAAUCUUCCGCAAUGGGCGAAAGCCUGACGGAGCAACGCCGCGUGAGUGAUAAAGGUGUUCGGAGCGUAAAAAUCUGUUAUUAGGGAAGAACAAACGUGUAAGUAACUGUGCACGUCUUGACGGUAACUAAUCAGAAAGCCACGGCUAACUACGUG
rnacentral:rRNA from 1 species